GAGGAACGUUUCCUUCACGAAUUCCCGACUUUCUCCUCACAGCAAGAAAACAGUGUGUUUGAGAAUCAGUCAGGAAGACAGACAGGAUCAGCAGACAGUUGGACCUCCUGAGAUAGAAAGUGUAGAGAGGCAGACAGGAACCAAUUUACCAAAGAAACAGACUACGUCUGGAGGAAGCACAGAUUUCUUCUUCCUAACAGAGCUCUAAAUCAGCGCCAACUGAAGGUCCGUUCAAAAGGGUUCAGCACUUUCAUCAAGCAGUCACUCGGAGACGGACGCCGUGACUCUCACCGACCUCAGUGUGACUGGAGCUGGAGUCCAUCCCACAGAGACCCUUACGCACUGAUCAUGUGAUCUCGACUGUAAGGGAACUUCAGCCCUGUGUCAGGGCGUGGUGUUGACGCUGAUCUUUGAGCGUUCCUUUGCUCUCUGCAGUUACUCCAGACUAAUGAAGCUGGGCCGUGUAUCAUAUUGUGUGUGUAAUAGGGGAAUAAAAAAACGUU